rnacentral:lncRNA from 1 species
AGCCAUGGCUGGCGGGUCCUUCCUAGCAUGUGCUGCGGCCCUCACCUUAUCUUCCGUCAUCAGGGCACAGGCGCCGUGCAGGGCUAUUCCGAGUCCAGGUGGACAUCGAGGCCCUGUGGGUGGCCCUACAGCGUGGAAGGGAUGACCGAGCUUUGGGACAUGUCCUGGAAACCUAAGGUGCUGGAGCUAGAAGAGACUUGAUAGCACUUCAGAGACCAUCAGGCUGUUUCGUGGAACUUCCACCAAAGAGAUGCAGAAAUGGAGACUCCAGAGCUGGAGAGAGAGAGAUGACUCAACUGUUAAAAGCACUGACUGCUCUUCCAGAGGUCCUGAGUUCAAUUCCCAGCAACCACAUGGUGGCUCACAAUUAUCUGUAAUGGGGAUCCGAUGCCCUCCUCUGGUGUGUCUGAAGACAGUGAUGGUGUACUGACAUAUAUGAAGUAAAUAAGUAAAUUAAUAAAUAGAAAUGAGACUC